ACAGUUACUGUUUUUUUCUUACCUGUCGGUCCUCUCCUACUGCUCUGGGACUAAACUGAUUAGCUCAGGUGCCUGUGGGCGGGGCAGACUUUUCUUGUUGCCUAGUCUCAAGCCUCCUAGUGACAGCAGAAUAUACCCAUGGUCUGUGUCCCCCAACGGAUCCUCCGAGAAAGAUUUUACGGCACUUUUGGGGGAGUCCUGCUCCGUCCCUUGUUUUCAAUUAGGGUAGCUUGAUCUGAAGACAUCCCAUGCUGCCUGUUCAUGGAAGUUUGCUGCUGGCGAGAAGAAUACUGCAUUCCAGCAGCAAUGGAGAAGUCAAGCUUUUGCUGAUCUGAAAUGCAACAGAUAAAACUUCGUACUCCACAUUUCUAUAUAUUCCUGCAUUAAGUGACCGAAAAACAGAUGGGGGGAAAGAAGGUGGUUCAGACCUUCUUUGGGGAAGCUGCAGAAAGAGAAAAUAAAAAGCAAAAAAC